rnacentral:rRNA from 1 species
GACGAACGCUGGCGGCGUGCUUAACACAUGCAAGUCGAGCGGUAAGGCCCUUUCGGGGGUACACGAGCGGCGAACGGGUGAGUAACACGUGGGUGACCUGCCUUUAGCUCUGGGAUAAGCCUGGGAAACCGGGUCUAAUACCGGAUAUGACUCCGCGGCGCAUGUUGUGGGGUGGAAAGCCUUGUGCGGCUGGAGAUGGGCCCGCGGCCUAUCAGCUUGUUGGUGGGGUGAUGGCCUACCAAGGCGACGACGGGUAGCCGGCCUGAGAGGGCGACCGGCCACACUGGGACUGAGACACGGCCCAGGCUCCUACGGGAGGCAGCAGUGGGGAAUCUUGCGCAAUGGGCGAAAGCCUGACGCAGCGACGCCGCGUGAGGGAUGACGGCCUCGGUUGUAACGUAC